CGUACAUACGUCACAAGUCACAAACCCACCUGCCUGUUUCUCCUCACUUCGCCUCAAGGCGUAGGCGUUCUGUCACCUCACAUCAUCACAAGAAGAAGGGAAGCAGUGUAUUUCGACGCUCUACUGCUCUAGCUGCAUUUAGUUAGGUGAGAGGCGGGUAAAGUGGCAAGGCUCCAUACCAUCACUGAUCCUACCCCUGCAUGUGCUGAAGCAGUAGGCAGAGAAGGCCUAAGACAGUUCACAAAGUGGCAUCAGAGAUGUACUGAGGGCUAGCUGAGAGUGCUACAUCCCAAGUGCCCUUGAUAUCAUGAUGAAGACACGGCUUCGGAAAGCUUUGCGGCCCAUGCAACUGAGAACCCGAUGGGGAUGCAGAAUUCUCAGAAGAUGCCAGCAUGGAGACCCAAGUGUGAGACCCAGGUGGAUGCAUGUCUCAAAAGGAGUCAGCAAGGUCAGACUCUAACCACUGACCAGACAAGCAUCCUGAAGCCAUAAUGCUACCUAGUAACACUGAACUUGGGUCUCACGCCUAAGAGGAAGAGAGAUGUGUAGUGGCAUCUACAGUGGGGUUCUUUUAGUCAGCCUUAGGGAGAUAUAAUCUAUGUGCAAUAAAACUUGCAAUUUUGAGAUACAAUUUGAUGAGUUUUUACAAAUAUUGACAGUUGAGUAAUCACUGCCACAAACAUUCCCAUGUGUAGAGAGCAAAAUGGAGUCUCUUGUGUCAAGCAGGGGCCUGUGUCAAGUGAUGAGACGCAAGCAGUUAAGGUACCGCAGCUAGGAGAUAUCGCUGAGACCAUCGUCAGCUGACGACACCCCUGCUGACCAAUGUCAGCAGACCUCUGCAGAGGACGUCUGCAGAGACCCCAAACUGAUUAAAUCCCUUUAAAAAGGAAAGGAUUUUGGCAGCAAACUGUCAGACUCUGCAGACCUGACCCCUCUACGUCUGACCACUUAAAAAAGGCAACUGCCGCUGAAGGCUCUGCCCGAUGGAUCUCCGAAUAGAGCCGAGAUCCUUCCCUGCUUGAACAUCAGAAGCAGUAAGUACGGAGCUGACCCGGACCCGACAGAGGCCUUAUCUCAGCUGCAUGCCCACAGACUGACGUCACGUUUGGUUUGGUUCACUUCCUGUCCCCUUCUGUUAUCUUGUUUGUUGUGUGGCUUGUCUUCUGUCCUGCUCUGUGUGCCAUGUAAGAAGCCAAGUUUAACCACAUGGGGAAAUGUCAUUGAGUUUGGAAUCCUGACCCUGCUUUAUAAUUGUGAUUUUGUUUUAUGAUUGAAUAAAGCUGACAUUGUGGAAAGACACAACUCAUGUGUGUGCCUUCCUAGCCUGCUCAUGACACCAUUGCUCCAAAAGUUGCCUUUGUGUACCUUUACAAUCCGUGCCCCCAUCUCUCCCCAUGCCUGCCAUCCCAAACACAUGGUAACAUCUAGUUUUGCCUUUUCCAGUAUUUUAUGUAAAUAGAAUCAUAGAUUUUUCUGGCUUCUGUAAUUUAGCAUAAGGUUUCUAAGGUUCAUCUACAUUGCUGUGGGCAUCAAUAUUUCAUUCCUUUUAUUGCCAAGUGGUAUCACACUGUACAAAUACACCACAAUUUAUUUGCUGAUUCACCAGUUGAUAGACAUUUGACUUGCUACUCCUGUUUGGCUAUUAUGAAUAAAGUUGCUAUAAACAUUUGA